AUACUUACCUGGACGGGGUCAAUGGGUAAUCAAGAAGUUCCAUGGCCUAGGUUGGUGACCUCCAUUGCACUAAGGAGGGGUGCUUGCCUAAGGUCGACCCAAGUGGUUGAGCCUACGUCAUAAUUUGUUGUUGCAGAGGGGGCCUGUGUUCGCGCAGCCCCUACC
rnacentral:snRNA from 1 species